CCUACGGGUGGCAGCAGUGGGGAAUAUUGCACAAUGGGGGAAACCCUGAUGCAGCGACGCCGCGUGUGGGAAGACGGUCUUCUGGAUUGUAAACCACUGUCCCCAGGGACGAAAAUGACGGAACCUGGGGAGGAAGCUCCGGCCAACUACGUGCCAGCAGCCGCGGUAAUACGUAGGGAGCAAGCGUUGUCCGGAAUUACUGGGUGUAAAGGGAGCGUAGGCGGGGAUGCAAGUUGGGUGUCAAAACUACCGGCUCAACCGAUAGUCGCACUCAAAACUGGAGCUCUUGAGUGAAGUAGAGGCAGGCGGAAUUCCUAGUGUAGCGGUGAAAUGCGUAGAUAUUAGGAGGAACACCAGUGGCGAAGGCGGCCUGCUGGGCUUUUACUGACGCUGAGGCUCGAAAGUGUGGGGAGCAAACAGGAUUAGAUACCCCAGUAGUC
rnacentral:rRNA from 1 species